rnacentral:rRNA from 1 species
UACGUAGGGUGCAGGCGUUAAUCGGAAUUACUGGGCGUAAAGCGUGCGCAGGCGGCCUCUUAAGUCAGAUGUGAAAUCCCCGGGCUUAACCUGGGAACUGCGUCCGAUACUGGCAGGCUUGAAUCCGGGAGAGGGAUGUGGAAUUCCAGGUGUAGCGGUGAAAUGCGUAGAUAUCUGGAGGAACACCGGUGGCGAAGGCGGCAUCCUGGACCAACACUGACGCUGAGGCGCGAAAGCUAGGGGAGCAAACGGG